AUGGGCCUCCUGUCGUCGAUCCUGCAAUGGUGCGCACUCCUGCCCAAGUUCCUCUCCCUCUUGGUGGCCAACCUUCCUGACCCCGCCAACUGCGCCCGCUGCCGCGCCGUCCACCGUCCAAGGAACUCGGCAGUGCGCCACCAUGGCCCCCAAGCGCGUCCGCUGCCAUGGGUCGCCCUCUGGGAUAGCUACGUCACCACCUCCUACGGCGGCCACAUGCACGAACUCCCCAAGAAUGCCAUGACUGCCGGCUCCACCAAUGACUGGCUUGCCCUCGGCCUUGGCCAGAAGCACACCAACGACGAGCAAACAGAGCACUACGUCGUCUACAACUAUGUCUUGCACAAUCCUUUCUCAAACAGGUCUCUGCCGCUGCCUGAGCUCGACGCCGUCAUCGUCCAAGACAGGUCUUUCAUCCGCAAAUUCCUCAUGCGCUCGACGGUCGAUGACUUCAUUGCCGUCAUCACCAGCAACAGGAAGCAUCCGCUCAUUGUAUUCCAGUGA
rnacentral:rRNA from 1 species